UUUAAAUUGAGAGUUUGAUCCUGGCUCAGGACGAACGCUGGCGGCGUGCCUAACACAUGCAAGUCGAGCGAUGAAACUUCCUUCGGGAAGUGGAUUAGCGGCGGACGGGGGAGUAACACGUGGGUAACCUGCCUCAAAGAGUGGGAUAGCCUUCCGAAAGGGAGAUUAAUACCGCAUAACAUUAUUUUAUGGCAUCAUAAAAUAAUCAAAGGAGCAAUCCGCUUUGAGAUGGACCCGCGGCGCAUUAGCUAGUUGGUGAGGUAACGGCUCACCAAGGCAACGAUGCGUAGCCGACCUGAGAGGGUGAUCGGCCACAUUGGAACUGAGACACGGUCCAGACUCCUACGGGAGGCAGCAGUGGGGAAUAUUGCGCAAUGGGGGAAACCCUGACGCAGCAACGCCGCGUGAGUGAUGAAGGUUUUCGGAUCGUAAAACUCUGUCUUUAGGGACGAUAAUGACGGUACCUAAGGAGGAAGCCACGGCUAACUACGUGCCAGCAGCCGCGGUAAUACGUAGGUGGCAAGCGUUGUCCGGAUUUACUGGGCGUAAAGAGUAUGUAGGUGGGUGCUUAAGUCAGAUGUGAAAUUCCCGGGCUCAACCUGGGAGCUGCAUUUGAAACUGGGCAUCUAGAGUGCAGGAGAGGAAAGUGGAAUUCCUAGUGUAGCGGUGAAAUGCGUAGAGAUUAGGAAGAACACCAGUGGCGAAGGCGACUUUCUGGACUGUAACUGACACUGAGAUACGAAAGCGUGGGUAGCAAACAGGAUUAGAUACCCUGGUAGUCCACGCCGUAAACGAUGAAUACUAGGUGUCGGGGGGUACCACCCUCGGUGCCGCAGCAAACGCAUUAAGUAUUCCGCCUGGGGAGUACGGUCGCAAGAUUAAAACUCAAAGGAAUUGACGGGGACCCGCACAAGCAGCGGAGCAUGUGGUUUAAUUCGAAGCAACGCGAAGAACCUUACCUAGACUUGACAUCUCCUGAAUUACUCUUAAUCGAGGAAGUCCCUUCGGGGACAGGAAGACAGGUGGUGCAUGGUUGUCGUCAGCUCGUGUCGUGAGAUGUUGGGUUAAGUCCCGCAACGAGCGCAACCCUUAUUGUUAGUUGCUACUAUUAAGUUAAGCACUCUAACGAGACUGCCGCGGUUAACGUGGAGGAAGGUGGGGAUGACGUCAAAUCAUCAUGCCCCUUAUGUCUAGGGCUACACACGUGCUACAAUGGCUGGUACAA
rnacentral:rRNA from 1 species